CGUUACAUGUGAGACUUUUGUAGAGGAAAUGCGUGAUUUUUUGGAAACAUGGGGGACUCUUGUAGCAAAAAAGUUUGAUUUUGGGGUCAAACGGGGGAUUUUUGAAGAGCAGAAGUGUGAUUUUCACGUUAAAUGGGGGAUUUUCCACAAGAAAAUGUGGUGAAUUUGGGGGAUAAUGGGUAUUUUUGAAGAGAUAAUGCAUGAUUUUGGGGUAAAUGUGAGAUUUUCCAAGAGAAAAGGCAAGAUGUUCGGGUUGAAUGGGGGACUUUGCAAGAGAAGUUGUGUGAUUUUGGGAUAAAAGGGGAUUUUUGAGAGAAAAUGUGUGAUUUUUGUUUAAAGGGGGUAUUUUUGAGGAGAUAAUGCAUGAUUCUGGGGUUAAGUGGGGGAUUGUUGAAGAGACAGUGCAUGAUUUUGAGGUUAAAUGUGGGAUUUUCUUAGAAUUGGAAAUUUAAGGCAAGAAUGUGAUGUUUGGGAUUGAAAUGUGUGACUUUGUCUAGAGAAAUGCUGUUGAAUGUUUGGAUAAGUGCGGAUUUUUGAAGAGAAAAUGCGUGAUUUUGGGGAUAAUCAGGGA
rnacentral:lncRNA from 7 species